rnacentral:lncRNA from 1 species
GCUCCUCAUGAUACCAAGUGGCUGCCACAACUCUUGCCUAAGAUGCUUUCAGGAACAACUGCCACCUCCCAAAUCCCAGGGUUUGAUGUCUGUACCUCACGCCACACGCUUGUCUCGUCUUCACCUUUGUCUCCUGAGGGAUGGACACUGUUACAGAAGACGGACGUGUUUGAUGCUGAAGUCACACAGUAUCCUGCCAGCAUCAGUUAAACGAUGAAUCUUGUAUGAGAGGGAUUCACGUCUGGGACAGACAGGAGAAGAGCUCCUGGGAUUUGCAGAAGAAAGAGGCCUGGGGACAAGUAGAUGUCAUCACUGGGGCCUCAGGAAGACCUUAUCGGGCCUGUAGACUCUUCAUUUGGAGCCUUGGUCUUAGCAGUGUUGAUUUCUGGCCCUUGGCGGAUGGCUACUAUACCUGGGAGUUACUUGCCUCUGUAAGUAACUCCGAAGGCCACUUCGCCUUAGGAUGGCAGGAUGGUUUCAUCAUAUUCUGUGUAACUGACACCAGAAAGAAUCCUAUCUCAUACAGCUGAGUUUAGUCCCAUUAUUGCCUGGCAUACGAGCCUCCUUCACUAUGGGAAAAUGUAAGUAAAUUUAGAUAUAUAAGCAGAAUGACCAAAUAGAUAGAUGAUAGCUAGGUAGCUGGAUAGACUGAUGGAUAUAGAACAGAUAAAAUUUAGUGUUUGUCCAUGCAUGGAGAAUAGGAUCAGAAAGAUACAUACCCAACUCUUCACAAUUAAUACUCUGGGAUGAGAAGGUGUUUCACUUUAUUAUGAUCAGCUUUUCCUGGAAUGUUUGCAUUUAAAGAUAAGCAUAUGUGACC